rnacentral:rRNA from 1 species
AUUGAACGCUGGCGGCAGGCCUAACACAUGCAAGUCGAACGAGUGGCGGACGGGUGAGUAAUGUCUGGGAAACUGCCUGAUGGAGGGGGAUAACUACUGGAAACGGUAGCUAAUACCGCAUACCAUCAGAUGUUCCCAGAUGGGAUUAGCUAGUUGGUGGGGUAACGGCUAACCAAGGCGAAGAUCCCUAGCUGGUCUGAGAGGAUGACCAGCCAAACUGGAACUGAGAAACGGGCCAGAGUCCUAGGGGGGGCAGAAGUGGGGAAUAUUGCACAAGGGGCGCAAGCCUGAUGAAGCAAGCCCGGGUGUAUGAAGAGGGCCUUCGGGUUGAAAAGUACUUUCAGCGGGGAGGCGUUACCCGCAGAAGAAGCACCGGCUAACUCCGUGCCAGCAGCCGCGGUAAUA